rnacentral:rRNA from 1 species
UACGGAAGGCAGCAGUGGGGAAUAUUGCACAAUGGGCGAAAGCCUGAUGCAGCUAUGCCGCGUGUAUGAAGAAGGCCUUAGGGUUGUAAAGUACUUUCAUCGGGGAGGAAAAACAAAACUAAUAAUUUUAUUUCUUGACGUUACCCGAAAAAGAAGCACCGGCUAACUCCGUGCCAGCAGCCGCGGUAAUACGGAGGGUGCUAGCGUUAAUCAGAAUUACUGGGCGUAAAGAGCACGUAGGUGGUUUUUUUAAGUCAGAUGUGAAAUCCCUGGGCUUAACCUAGGAACUGCAUUUUGAAACUGAAAUACUAGAGUAUCGUAGAGGGAGGUAGAAUUCUAGGUGUAGCGGUGAAAUGCGUAGAUAUCUGGAGGAAUACCUGUGGCGAAAGCGGCCUCCUAAACGAAUACUGACACUGAGGUGCGAAAGCGUGGGGAGCAAACGAGGGAUUAGAUACCCG